rnacentral:rRNA from 1 species
UGCAGUGGGUACGGGCAGACUGGAGUGCAGUAGGGGAGACUGGAAUUCCUGGUGUAGCGGUGAAAUGCGCAGAUAUCAGGAGGAACACCGAUGGCGAAGGCAGGUCUCUGGGCUGUUACUGACGCUGAGGAGCGAAAGCAUGGGGAGCGAACAGGAUUAGAUACCCCUGGUAGUCCAUGCCGUAAACGUUGGGCACUAGGUGUGGGGGACAUUCCACGUUUUCCGCGCCGUAGCUAACGCAUUAAGUGCCCCGCCUGGGGAGUACGGCCGCAAGGCUAAAACUCAAAGGAAUUGACGGGGGCCCGCACAAGCGGCGGAGCAUGCGGAUUAAUUCGAUGCAACGCGAAGAACCUUACCAAGGCUUGACAUGGGCCGGAUCGGGCUGGAAACAGUCUUUCCCUUCGGGGCCGGUUCACAGGUGGUGCAUGGUUGUCGUCAGCUCGUGUCGUGAGAUGUUGGGUUAAGUCCCGCAACGAGCGCAACCCUCGUUCCAUGUUGCCAGCGCGUAGUGGCGGGGACUCAUGGGAGACUGCCGGGGUCAACUCGGAGGAAGGUGGGGACGACGUCAAAUCAUCAUGCCCCUUAUGUCUUGGGCUUCACGCAUGCUACAAUGGCCGGUACAAUGGGUUGCGAUACUGUGAGGUGGAGCUAAUCCCAAAAAGCCGGUCUCAGUUCGGAUCGUGGUCUGCAACUCGACCACGUGAAGUCGGAGUCGCUAGUAAUCGCAGAUCAGCAACGCUGCGGUGAAUACGUUCCCGGGCCUUGUACACACCGCCCGUCAAGUCACGAAAGUUGGUAACACCCGAAGCCGGUGGCCUAACCCCCUUUGUGGGGAGGGAGCCGUCGAAGGUGGGACUGGCGAUUGGGACUAAGUCGUAACAAGGUAGCA